GUGGCGGGUAGCUCAGUUUGGUAGAGCGCUAAACAUCCUUGUUCACCCCUUGCCUGCAAAGGCCGACGAAUUAGGGUUAUCGAUUAGGGUUCGAGAGGUCGCGGGUUCAAAUCCCGCUCCGUUACACCA
rnacentral:tRNA from 1 species